rnacentral:rRNA from 1 species
AGCAGCAUCGCGGUGGCGGAGCGUCGUUUGCGACGCCCAACACACAAAACAAGCGGUGAGUGCUUUGGGGUGGGGUGACUGCGUACCUUUUGUAUAAUGGGUCAGCGACUUAUAUUCUGUAGCAAGGUUAACCGUAUAGGGGAGCCGAAGGGAAACCGAGUCUUAACUGGGCGUUAAGUUGCAGGGUAUAGACCCGAAACCCGGUGAUCUAGCCAUGGGCAGGUUGAAGGUUGGGUAACACUAACUGGAGGACCGAACCGACUAAUGUUGAAAAAUUAGCGGAUGACUUGUGGCUGGGGGUGAAAGGCCAAUCAAACCGGGAGAUAGCUGGUUCUCCCCGAAAGCUAUUUAGGUAGCGCCUCGUGAACUCAUCUUCGGGGGUAGAGCACUGUUUCGGCUAGGGGGUCAUCCCGACUUACCAACCCGAUGCAAACUGCGAAUACCGAAGAAUGUUAUCACGGGAGACACACGGCGGGUGCUAACGUCCGUCGUGAAGAGGGAAACAACCCAGACCGCCAGCUAAGGUCCCAAAGUCACAGUUAAGUGGGAAACGAUGUGGGAAGGCUCAGACAGCCAGGAUGUUGGCUUAGAAGCAGCCAUCAUUUAAAGAAAGCGUAAUAGCUCACUGGUCGAGUCGGCCUGCGCGGAAGAUGUAACGGGGCUAAACUGUGCACCGAAGCUGCGGCAGCGACGCUUAUGCGUUGUUGGGUAGGGGAGCGUUCUGUAAGCCUGCGAAGGUGUCCUGUGAGGGAUGCUGGAGGUAUCAGAAGUGCGAAUGCUGACAUAAGUAACGAUAAUGCGGGUGAAAAGCCCGCUCGCCGGAAGACCAAGGGUUCCUGUCCAACGUUAAUCGGGGCAGGGUGAGUCGACCCCUAAGGCGAGGCCGAAAGGCGUAGUCGAUGGGAAACGGGUUAAUAUUCCCGUACUUGGUGUUACUGCGAAGGGGGGACGGAGAAGGCUAUGUUGGCCGGGCGACGGUUGUCCCGGUUUAAGCGUGUAGGCUGGUUUUCCAGGCAAAUCCGGAAAAUCAAGGCUGAGGCGUGAUGACGAGGCACUACGGUGCUGAAGCAACAAAUGCCCUGCUUCCAGGAAAAGCCUCUAAGCAUCAGGUAACAUCAAAUCGUACCCCAAACCGACACAGGUGGUCAGGUAGAGAAUACCAAGGCGCUUGAGAGAACUCGGGUGAAGGAACUAGGCAAAAUGGUGCCGUAACUUCGGGAGAAGGCACGCUGACACGUAGGUGAAGU